rnacentral:rRNA from 1 species
UACGUAGGGCGCAAGCGUUGUCCGGAAUUAUUGGGCGUAAAGAGCUCGUAGGCGGCUUGUCGCGUCGUCCGUGAAAACCCAUGGCUCAACUGUGGGCUUGCGGUCGAUACGGGCAGGCUGGAGUUCGGUAGGGGAGACUGGAAUUCCUGGUGUAGCGGUGAAAUGCGCAGAUAUCAGGAGGAACACCGGUGGCGAAGGCGGGUCUCUGGGCAACAACUGACGCUGAGGUGCGAAAGCGUGGGGAGCGAACAGG